UCCUGAAAUUUCUCCAGAGGCUGCAAUUAUUCUUGUAAGGAGAAGUGCUGUGAUCUUAAAAAACCUGAUCACAAAAUGGAGGAGAGAAGUGCAGCUUGAGAGAGAUGUGACGUGGAAUGUGGUGAUUUUGCAUGGGAGGCAUUCAUGGAAGUGAUGCAAAGCAUCUGUGUGAUUGACAAUCUGAACCACUGGAAAGCUCUAAAUGCCUCUGUGAAAAACACAUGUUAAAGAUGAAAGAAACCUGGGAACGUUCGCUUUCUUAUUGGGUCGCCAAAGAGGCAACAGGGGCAAGGCCGGGCCCCUGCCGCAGGCCCGGACUCCCUUCCUGCUGCUGGGCAGUGAGAGGAGAGGCUGCGGGCCGAGGCCAGGCUGGGCUAUGGCUGUGAUUUCUAACAUCUUGCUGCUACUAAGCCCUGCCCUGCCACUAGCCUGAGGCCGAGCUGGGUCCACCGGUCCCCAGGAGCAACCCGGGGCCAGGCCAGCUCAGCCAAGAUCCUACCUACCACCACUGAGAUUUUUUCACAACCACCGGGCAGGAGGAGGAGAAGCUAUCGGCCCCCCCAGCCCCAGCUCCGGCAGCAAGCUGCUGAGCCUGGCCGGAGCCAGGUGACCCCCUGCAGGCCGUGGGCGAGAUAUAAACUCUGUCAGUGCUUCAAUCCUCCCACGAGUGAGAGAAAAGAACAAAAUGCAGGCAAUGUAAAGGAACAACAUGAAGACACCAAGCAUUGAAGGGAUUCAAGAUCUGCAUCUCUGAGUCAGCCUCUGAGGUGGUAAGGCCAGCAAGG